GGCGGCCUGCAGAUGAGGCCGGAUGAAGCGCGUCGGAGAGGAUUGUGAGUCCCGGGUGGGUCCCGCAGGGUGCGGAGCGUCCGCGGGGAGCGCUGAACCCCCAGCGCCCAAAAUCCAAGGCCGACACAGCUGUCUGGGCCCGCCCCUCGUGCGCGCGGGAACCCAAGAGGAGUUUGAUUUCUUCCGCCUUCCUCUUCCUUCAGCCGUCCACGCUCUGCCCUAGCAUGUCCCCUGUUGACUUUGUUUAUAACCAGGAUCUAGCAGCUUCCAGAGCCUGGCAGUAAAGCCAGCCCUGAAGUUGCAAGAAGUUUGAGGAGGAUGAAGAUGGGAGAGGCGCGCACAGCCACUGGUCUCAUUUGGCACAGAAGGCCAUUCUUUCCGCACACGUACAUAUUUUCUUGGCCUAAUCUAUUUGCUUUGUUGCAAGGCAAAAGAAGAAAAGCUUUUUAGCUCUUUGAGACUGCUUCUCCCCACAUCUACUAUCCAGGGUCUUUUGCUUCUAUAGUAGAGCCUGCAGAAAGGUAGGCACCCCUGGACACGGGUAAAAAGUCUGAAUACAGUCUGCGCAGUCUCUUCUGGCUAGCAGUAUGCCCCAUUUGUUGUGCACCUACUACGUGUCGGGUACCGCGAUAGGCUCUGGAAAUAGUUGUGGACAAGAAAGCAGGCGUCACCCACAUGAAGCUUCUUGGAGCUGACUAGGGGAAGUAACAGAGUGGCUAUAGAGGAAGGGUCGCUGGGUAAGAAGGGGGACACCCAGUUAAAUCUGAAUGUCACAUGCACAACAAUAGUAUACCCCAUAAAUUCCAUGGAACAUAUUUACACGAAAGCCGUUUAUCUGAAAUCCAGUUUGAUUGAAUGUCUUAUGCUUUUACUUGUUGAAUCUGGCGACUCUAUGGAGGAGUUUGGGAGAAGGUCGUUUUGGUUUGUUUUACCUUCUGCGUUCAAGAAGAGCAUAUCUGAGAGAACAAACUCUGAGUUGGAACUUCAAGAGGAUGAAGGGCCAUGGAAGGACCUGAGGAAGGAACGGCAGGUGUAAGGAGCUGGAGGCAGGAAUUGCCAUGUUGGCAUGUUCAAGGACAGAUGAAGACCAUCCCACAGCUGCGGGGCGGGUGGUAAGAGAUGGAACAAAUGGAACGGGUCCUGUAGUCAUAAUAGAAGCUAUCUUUCUCUCAACAAGUUUUUCUGAAGAAGGGGGAGCGGGGAGGAGAGACAAAGAAGAAGUGAACCUGAAGGUAGAAUUUUCCAGGAUGAAAGAAUAAGUGCAAAGAAGCUGAAGCAGGAACAUGCUCAGUUUGAGGAACAACAAGAAGAGCCAAGUGGAUGAAACAGGAACCGUAACUCUCCCGGCAACCUGGUUGUACAGAUAAAGAAGGCAAGUGCGACGUGACUUGCAAGGUCCCUUGUAUAAUAAGCAGAUUCGACAAUCAAACCCAGGUCCAAGGGAUUCCAGAGUCCAAGGCUUCUUCAAUUUUAAAACAUAUGCAUAGACAAAAAGUAACUGAAAGAAGCCUCAAAAGAUAAACUGAUCCAUGCCCUUGCCCUAGGUGAGCAACAGGACCAUCUUGGGUAGAACCACAGUUUCCACCCAAUGAGAACAAGGACAUCAGUGCAGGCACAGAAACAACACUUCUAGAACUGAGUUGAAGGCCAGCUUAAAUGGCACUUAAGGAGCCUGUUGUCAGAGGAGCCCUGGCUGCCAUCCCAGCUCCAUCAUCGGGAAGAGCCUUCAGGCUCUCAUUGCAUCUUUCAGCCUCUGAAAUGGGGAUAGUACUAUCUAUCCACCUGACCCACCUCCAGAGGACCAGUUUUUAGACCAGAAUAAGCAGCAUUCUUGAUGUGCAAAGCUCGUCCAAAAGAGAGACAUUAUCAUCACUUCGUAACCAAAACCAAGAGCUACCAGGCUCGUUCCAUUUUCACAGUGAAGAAAAUCCUGCCUCCGUGGAAUGAGACAUUUUGAACCUUUCUGCACUAAGAAUGAGUCAUCACAAGUCCUCGUUUUGAGAUGGCUGCUAACUAUAUAAUCAACUUAAAAUAAAUUAUUUGU